UCGCCUGUUUAUCAAAAACAUAGUUCCCCGAAUCUAUGGGGGAUGACGCCUGCCCAGUGGRAAUUCUUAACGGCCGCGGUAUCUUGACCGUGCAAAGGUAGCAUAAUCAUUUGUCUCUUAAAUAGGGACUUGUAUGAAUGGCAUUACAUACUUCACCUGUCUCCCCUUUUUUCCUCUAAAACUUCUACUUACGUGAAGAAGCGUAAAUAAGAAAGAAAGACGAGAAGACCCUGUCGAGCUUCAGCUUACGGUUUAAAAUAAGAAAACCUUUUCAAGGUCUAUUAAAAUUUUUCCUAAGUUUUGGUUGGGGCAACCAUGGAGAAAAAACAUCCUCCAGUUUAACAAGAAGAUUCCAAAUCUCUUUUAACCUUUAUGAACCAGUUAAUUCUGGAAAACGGAACAAGUUACCGCAGGGAUAACAGCGUUAUCUUCUCUAAGAGUCCAUAUUGACGAGAAGGUUUGCGACCUCGAUGUUGGAUUGGGGUAACCAGAAGGUGCAGCAGCUUUCUAUGGUUGGACUGUUCGUCCAUUAAAUCCCUACGUG
rnacentral:rRNA from 1 species